UACAGAGGGUGCGAGCGUUAAUCGGAAUUACUGGGCGUAAAGCGUGCGUAGACGGUCAAGUAAGUCGGGUGUGAAAGCCCCGGGCUCAACCUGGGAAUUGCAUUCGAGACUGCGUGGCUAGGGUGCGGAAGAGGGAAGCGGAAUUUCCGGUGUAGCGGUGAAAUGCGUAGAUAUCGGAAGGAACACCAGUGGCGAAAGCGGCCUCCUGGUCCAGCACCGACGUUCAGGCACGAAAGCGUGGGGAGCAAACAGG
rnacentral:rRNA from 1 species